rnacentral:lncRNA from 1 species
UCGAGCGCAGGACAGUAUGGACUUCACCAGCCAGUUUGGCGCGGCCAUCGUGGGGGCGGCCCGACGAGACCGUGAGCGCUUCCACGAGGCCCGCAGGAGGAGCGCCUCCUUCUUCCUCUCCGCUGAGGAGGACAUCGAGGGAGAAGUAGCAGGGGGAGCUGGAGGAAGGGUCAGCAGCUCUCAACAGCAGCAGCAGCAGCAGCUCGGCACCCAGCCUUCUCCUCGCCUGCGCCCAUCUAAGUCCAUCGACGAGGGCAAUGUUCUCGGGCGACACCUUCAUCCACCAAGCCCCAGCAAUGCCCCCGGCCUUCGGGCUGCCUGAGUACUCGACCACGGCACAGCUGGGAGAACUACCAGCCCAAGUCAGUCCCCGGCAGACUUCUAUGGCGCCGGCCUCGGACUCAACAGCAACAGCAGCAGCAGCUGCAGCAACAACAGCAACAGCUGCAACAGCAACAAGCUGCUACCACCACUUUCAUCCACCCACUGACAGGAAAGGUCCUGGACCCCUCGUCCCGCUGGGGCUUGGCCCUGGCUGCCCGGGAACGUGCCUCAGGACGAUGGGCCGCAUGCGGCGAGACCGGACGACCGGAGGUGCAGAGCACCCAUUUUCCCCGGCAGCUUGUCCAACGUGGGGGCGUACUCCUCCUCCAUGGUCUCCAACCCGUCUUCCUCGGCGCCCUCCAACAUCUCGGGCACCUCCUCCUACCUGGUCACCUCCUCCUCGCUGGCAGCCACUACUUCCACACGGCCACCUUCUCCCAGGAUCCUUCGGUGGGAAGACGAGGAGGUCGGGGCGGAACGAGACAGGGACACGAGCGGUCCGGCAGGAGGUGGAGGAGGAGGAGGAGGAGCUGCGCCUCGAGAAGGAUUGAGAGUUCGCUUCUCAGAAGAUAAGACGGUCCACACACACCACUACCAGGCCCAGCAGCACUACCAGCCUAGCCACAAGGAGCGUGAGCGGGAACGCCAAAGGGAGAGGUCCCGGGAGAGGGAGAGAGACAUGGAGAGGGCGCAGCGAGCACAGACACCACCUUCCCAGCAGCAGCAGCAGCAGCAGGCAUCCCAGCAGCCUCGACGGCCCUCCUUCCUGCGUAUGGAAAGUGAGGCGGGCUCCUACAUCCUUUCUCUUACCCCCCCUCCCCACCAGCUACGACCGUCCAGACCCACGCCACCCCUGGGGGAGGAGGAGGAGCAGGAGGGGGUGAACGGGGCACCGCUGCUGCCGGUGGCUCAGGGCAUCAUGGUCUUGCCGCCCCCCGCUCCCUCAGUGGAUGCCGAUGACGAGUUUGUGUUCGCCGACCCUCUGCCGCCACCGCUGGAGUUCGCCAACAGCUUCGACCGAGGCAUUCCGUCGAGCGGCAUGAGCGCCUACGCCAGUCUGGUAGCCAACAGCAUGGUGUCGCGACAACAGCUUCAGCAGCUUCAGCAGCAGCAUCAGCGUCAACAGCAGCUUCAGCAGCAGCAGCUUCAACAGCAGCAGCUUCAACAGCAUCAGCAGCAGCAGCAGUACAAUGUCCCCCAGCCCCCUCCCCCACCACCCCCUCCGCCACCUCCACCACCCCCACCUCCCCAGAAGGAGUCCUACAUCCUGACUGGCUACUCCCAGCACACGCCCCUGCCCUCCCCCCAGGCCGGGGACUCCACCACCUCCAGCCUCACCUCCUACGACAGUGAGGUGGCCAACCUGACUCAGUCAGCCCCGUCGCCCUCCUCUCCCCACACCCAGCCCCCAUCCUCCCCGUCCCACGCCAGAGUCUCACACACCUCUUCCUCGGCCCUGCAGCCGUCUGGUCCGCCUCCCCCUCCCAGCGUCUCCCCACCUCCUCCGCCCACCUCGGCCUCCGCCUAUCACCAUCACCGGCCCUACAGCCUCUCCCAGACGCAGCAGCCCCACCUGUACAACAGCACCCACAUGGCGGGACGUGCCUCUUCGCCCACCCCUCCACCACACUCCAUCAGCACAGUGCCUCCACCCCCUGCCUACCGAAGCCCAUCACCUGCACCCUCCUCUGCCCACCGGGGAGUCUCGCCUGUCGCUCCCGCCGCCUCCGUGACCAGCACGGCCCAGAGCGAGCGCACCGCCACCGUCUCCACGGUAGCCACGGGCGGCGGGCUCCGCAGGGCGUCGGACCACCGGUCUCCCCAGCUGGCCGCCGCCUCCUCCAAGACUGGCGAGUCGCAGGAGACGGUGGUGGACUCGGGCAUCGAGGAGCUGGACAGUCGCAGCAGCAGCGAUCACCACCUGGACAGCAUCCUGGCCCUGAGCCGCGCCGAGCGCCUGGAGCGGGGCGGAGGAGUGCUCCCUGGGGAGGGCGACAGGGCCAGCGCCGACCUGCUCGAGUCCUACAUGAGCUACCUGGAUGGACAGACCUUUGAGAUGCACAACGCUAUGACGGCUACCAGCUCGGCCACCACCUCCGCUGCCAGUGGCUCCGCCGUCUCCACCUAUCCCAAAGUGCAGCGUUACCGCGAUGGUGUGACCCGCCGGCAGACCAGCACGGCACCCGCGGCCUACCGGCGGCGCGAACAGCAUCCGGAGGAGGAGGAGGAGGAAGAAGCGGAGGCGGCAGAGCGGCAGGCGGAGGAGGACGCCUACCGGAUUCGGGAGGCGCAGAACCUGAGCCGGCCCUCCAUGAUGUACUACGAGAGACCCCGCACUCCUGAGAUGAAAUCCGCGUGGGGGGACGGGACACAGGCGGCAGCCUCCGCAGGCAGGGAGGAGGGAGGGGUGCAGAGCUACAUCGAGGGGCGCAAGCUGCACCCGCCCAUGUCCGGCAUGAGGGCCAGCAUCCUCAACGAGCUGAGCAGCAAGCUGCACGAGAGGAACAAAGGCGUGGAGAGCUGGGGCAGCCAGAGGUCGCUCAGAGGUCACAGGUCAGUUUGGCUUGUUUAUGUACUUGUUUAUGUACUUGUUUAUGUACUUGUUUAUGUUUAUUGUGCUUUGUGAG